UAUUGGRVAAUGGGCGCAVBUGGAKCCAGCAAUGCCGCGUGUGUGAAGAAGGUUUUCGGAUUGUVAAGCACUUUCAGCGGGGACGAUGAUGACGGUACCCGCAGAAGAAGCCCCGGCUAACUUCGUGCCAGCAGCCGCGGUAAUACGAAGGGGGCAAGCGUUGCUCGGAAUGACUGGGCGUAAAGGGCGCGUAGGCGGUUGUUAMNGUCAGAUGUGAAAUUCCCGGGCUUAACCUGGGGGCUGCAUUUGAUACGUGACGACUAGAGUGUGAGASAVGGUUGUGGAAUUCCCAGUGUAGAGGUGAAAUUCGUAGAUAUUGGGGAAGAACACCGGUGGCGAAGGCGGCAACCUGGCUCAUGACUGACGCUGAMGCGCGAAAMCGUGGGGGAGCAAACAGGAUUAGAUACCCUGGUAGUCCACGCUGUAAACGAUGUGUGCYGGAUGUUGGAUGGCUUGGCCAU
rnacentral:rRNA from 1 species